AUAACAUUAAAAAAUUAUCUACACAUAGUGUGGAUAUAAAUUCUAGUAUAUAUUAAUAAAAGUUGAAGCUAAAUGCUUUUCAGAGUGUCGACUCGUCCUGGGCUUUCGGGUAUUCGGACCAGUUCCGGGUAAAACCGAUCAGUUGCGGGUAUUUCGAGUAUAGACGAUCAGAAACCAAAGUGGUACUGAAAUGAUUUCAGUUCGGUUCUGGUUCGGUACUUUUCAGUUCCAGGUCGGUUCGGUAUGGAAGUCUAAGAACCGUAAAUACUCGUAAAAUUUCGGUUCUCAAAUGGUUCGGGUAUCUAAUAUCCGAAAUACAUAAAGUGUACCCGAAAUGAAAAAAAAAGUAACCGAAAUGUUAACAUGUAUCCGAAAUUACAAAAAAAAAACAUGAACCACAAAGCAUCAAAUGAUUCAAUUCCAUUACAUCAGUUGCAGAAGGUGAAGGAAAAAUAAAACAUGAUGCAAAAGCAUCAAAUACAUAACACUAUCUAUGUUCGACAAUCAAAGAGAAAUGCAUAAAUAAAAACAAGUUUCAAGACAUAAGUGUUCCAAUUUCAAACUUCAAAGAGAAAUAAAAAGGAGUAACAAAAGAGACGUAAGUGUUAUAUUUCGAGACUUGUGGCUUAUGAGACGUGAAACUGCAACACAAAAAGAGACUCUACAACUUGAAACUGCACGAAGACGAAAUGAACUCAAUUUCAUAUUUAAGCAAACGAAAACCCUAAUCCCCAAAUCGAUUUCAUUUUUAAAAACACCCUAAAACCAAUUUCGAAUUUAAGAGACUCUACAUACUUGAUCUAUCGACAGAAAUUAAUAGUAGAAACUAAAAAACAAAGAGGAAAUGGAAUCAAUUUCAUAUUUAAACAAAUGAAAACCCUAACCCCCAAAUCAAUUUUCCCCCAUUAUAGAGCCGGAGAGAAAGACUCGAUUGUGUAUAUGUCUCUUUUUUCCUUCUAAUUUUG
rnacentral:lncRNA from 1 species